AGUGAACGCUGGCGGUAGGCCUAACACAUGCAAGUCGAACGGCAGCACAGUAAGAGCUUGCUCUUACGGGUGGCGAGUGGCGGACGGGUGAGGAAUACAUCGGCAUCUACUUUUUCGGGGGGGAUAACGUAGGGAAACUUACGCUAAUACCGCAUACGACCUACGGGUGAAAGCAGGGGAUCUUCGGACCUUGCGCGAUUGAAUGAGCCGAUGUCGGAUUAGCUAGUUGGCGGGGUAAAGGCACACCAAGGCGACGAUCCGUAGCUGGUCUGAGAGGAUGAUCAGCCACACUGGAACUGAGACACGGUCCAGACUCCUACGGGAGGCAGCAGUGGGGAAUAUUGGACAAUGGGCGCAAGCCUGAUCCAGCCAUACCGCGUGGGUGAAGAAGGCCUUCGGGUUGUAAAGCCCUUUUGUUGGGAAAGAAAAGCAGCGUGUUAAUACCCCGCUGUUCUGACGGUACCCAAAGAAUAAGCACCGGCUAACUUCGUG
rnacentral:rRNA from 1 species